AUUGAACGCUGGCGGCAGGCCUAACACAUGCAAGUCGAACGGUAGCAGGAAGAAGCUUGCUUCUUCGCUGACGAGUGGCGGACGGGUGAGUCAUGUCUGGGAAACUGCCUGAUGGAGGGGGAUAACUACUGGAAACGGUAGCUAAUACCGCAUAACGUCGCAAGACCAAAGAGGGGGACCUUCGGGCCUCUUGCCAUCGGAUGUGCCCAGAUGGGAUUAGCUUGUUGGUGGGGUAACGGCUCACCAAGGCGACGAUCCCUAGCUGGUCUGAGAGGAUGACCAGCCACACUGGAACUGAGACACGGUCCAGACUCCUACGGAAGGCAGCAGUGGGGAAUAUUGCACAAUGGGCGAAAGCCUGAUGCAGCCAUGCCGCGUGUAUGAAGAAGGCCUUCGGGUUGUAAAGUACUUUCAGCGGGGAGGAAGGGAGUAAAGUUAAUACCUUUGCUCAUUGACGUUACCCGAAGAAGAAGCACCGGCUAACUCCGUG
rnacentral:rRNA from 1 species